UGCCUGGCCUCCCAAAAUGCUGGGAUUACAGUCCUGAGCCACCAAGCCUGGCCUCCUAUAACUUUUAAAUUUACAAGUUUGAACGCACCUUUCCAGUUGCAAAGCAUGUGGUUUCCGUCAUACCGCAUAUGGUGCAUGUGCUUUCAAGAUCUUUUCAUCAAAACCUAGAAGCUAAAGAUUAAGUACAUUCAAUGUACUGAAAAUAUCCA
rnacentral:lncRNA from 10 species